rnacentral:tRNA from 4 species
GCGGCCAUAGCUUAGCCCGGCUUAAAGCGCCACACUGUCACUGUGGAGAUCAGGGGUUCGAAUCCCCUUGGCCGCGCCA